rnacentral:lncRNA from 1 species
CACUCUCCCUCCGCGUAUCAAAAACUCCCUCAACUUCUCAUUUUCCCCACAUUCUCUCAACUCCCACCUAAAGAGACAGAAAAAAGGAGAACAAAUAUCCAAAAAAUACGGGCGACAAAAAAGAAGGAAGAGGACACACACUUGAAAACAAACCCCCAAAAAAGGAGAGAACGAAAGAGGAAGAGUUAAGGGUUUUGAUUAAGAUUCCGUGUUCGUGGCUUUGAAAGUGAGCUAUUUGUUAAUUUUGAAUAUUAGUAACUCAUAAUAGCUCUUGAUGUGAACUGUUUUAUUUGUAAGAGGUAACCCUCGAACUUCUCCUAUAUAAUUUAGUUUUCAGAUUAUAUCAAACGUGAUCCUAUACUGAUUUAUUUUUCUGUUUCUUUAUGUGAAAUUAUAAAAAAAAAAUGGUUCUUUGUG